UACGUAGGGUGCAAGCGUUGUCCGGAAUUAUUGGGCGUAAAGCGCACGUAGGCGGCUUUGCAAGUCAGAGGUGAAAGCCCGGGGCUCAACCCCGGAAUUGCCUUUGAGACUGCAUCGCUAGAAUUGUGGAGAGGUAAGUGGAAUUCCGAGUGUAGAGGUGAAAUUCGUAGAUAUUCGGAAGAACACCAGUGGCGAAGGCGACUUACUGGACACAUAUUGACGCUGAGGUGCGAAAGCGUGGGGAGCAAACAGG
rnacentral:rRNA from 1 species